rnacentral:tRNA from 1 species
GUCCCUGCAGCGCAAUAGAUAACGCGUUGGACUUAUAAUCGAAAGGUCGUGGGUUCAGGUCCCGCCUGGGAUG